rnacentral:rRNA from 1 species
GCUUGGUGCUUGCACCGAGCGGAUGAGUUGCGAACGGGUGAGUAACGCGUAGGUAACCUGCCUCUUAGCGGGGGAUAACUAUUGGAAACGAUAGCUAAUACCGCAUAAAAGUCGAUAUCGCAUGAUAUUGAUUUGAAAGGUGCAAUUGCAUCACUAAGAGAUGGACCUGCGUUGUAUUAGCUAGUUGGUGAGGUAACGGCUCACCAAGGCGACGAUACAUAGCCGACCUGAGAGGGUGAUCGGCCACACUGGGACUGAGACACGGCCCAGACUCCUACGGGAGGCAGCAGUAGGGAAUCUUCGGCAAUGGGGGCAACCCUGACCGAGCAACGCCGCGUGAGUGAAGAAGGUUUUCGGAUCGUAAAGCUCUGUUGUAAGAGAAGAACGAGUGUGAGAGUGGAAAGUUCACACUGUGACGGUAACUUACCAGAAAGGGACGGCUAACUACGUGCCAGCAGCCGCGGUAAUACGUAGGUCCCGAGCGUUAUCCGGAUUUAUUGGGCGUAAAGCGAGCGCAGGCGGUUAGAUAAGUCUGAAGUUAAAGGCUGUGGCUUAACCAUAGUACGCUUUGGAAACUGUUUAACUUGAGUGCAGAAGGGGAGAGUGGAAUUCCAUGUGUAGCGGUGAAAUGCGUAGAUAUAUGGAGGAACACCGGUGGCGAAAGCGGCUCUCUGGUCUGUAACUGACGCUGAGGCUCGAAAGC